GAAACUGCGAAUGGCUCAUUAAAUCAGUUAUCGUUUAUUUGAUAGUACCUUACUACAUGGAUACCUGUGGUAAUUCUAGAGCUAAUACAUGCUAAAAACCCCGACUUCAGGAAGGGGUGUAUUUAUUAGAUAAAAAACCAACGCCCUUCGGGGCUCCUUGGUGAAUCAUAAUAACUUAACGAAUCGCAUGGCCUUGCGCCGGCGAUGGUUCAUUCAAAUUUCUGCCCUAUCAACUUUCGAUGGUAGGAUAGUGGCCUACCAUGGUGGCAACGGGUAACGGGGAAUUGGGGUUCGAUUCCGGAGAGGGAGCCUGAGAAACGGCUACCACAUCCAAGGAAGGCAGCAGGCGCGCAAAUUACCCAAUCCCGAUACGGGGAGGUAGUGACAAUAAAUACUGAUACGGGGCUCUUUUGGGUCUCGUAAUUGGAAUGAGAACAAUUUAAAUCCCUUAAUGAGGAACAAUUGGAGGGCAAGUCUGGUGCCAGCAGCCGCGGUAAUUCCAGCUCCAAUAGCGUAUAUUAAAGUUGUUGCAGUUAAAAAGCUCGUAGUUGAACCUUGGCCCUGGCUGGCCGGUCCGCCUCAC
rnacentral:rRNA from 1 species